UUCAGGGUGUUGCUUCUGUAGAUGCCGCGUUUAACUCUCCUCCAGUCGAGCAUCAGGAUGUGGUAUUGUUUAUUUUGGUCAGCAUUGCCUUUUUCCGGUUGAUGCACCAAUAAAAGAUGCAGGCCCAAUCUAGCAAUUCUAUAGGUUUUCUCUGCUUCUCUGCAAAAUCUUGAUUUGGUGGAUACACAUAUGUACAAGAGAUAAAUGGUGGCCUCGUGGACUACCCUUCUGAAUGUAUGCUCUAACUCCAGUUGAUGAUCUGCCAGGGCCUUCUGACCUUCCUAAACUUUCACAGGUACUCCUAACCUGAUGUGCCUUCCUGCUU